UCACUAAUUAAAAAGGAAUUUAACUUUAAUCAAACCUUUUUUUUCACCAAUUUUAAUUUGAAGACAAUUGUCACCUCCUCCUCAAUUUUCUAACUUUCUCAGUCUCCAUUUUUGUGCUUAACCCAUCUCCCAAAUUACUCUUCUCUACCCCCUCAUCGACCAUGAAUGCACUCUUACAGACUCAAAAACCCAGAACAAUUCGCUUUCGUUUAAGCAAUCGAGCAGACAAGGCCAACCCCAUCUCGCCCGCCAACUGUUCGAUACAAUUCCUCAACCAUCAACUCUCCUUUGGAACACAACAAUAAUUGGGUUUAUCUGUAAUGACAUGCCCCAUGAAGCCAUUUCAUACUAUGCUCGACUGAAACAUGUGGGUUCAUCCGUUAAAUGAUCAAUAUACUUAUUCCUCUGUUCUCAAGGCUUGCGCGGAUUCCAAAGGGAUUCUUGUAGGUAAAGCUGUGCAUUGCCACAUUCUGCGUUCUGGGAUUCAUACUAGUAGGAUUGUUGGUAAUUCUUUGUUGAAUAUGUACUCUGCUACUUGUCUUACAUUGGAUAAUGGUUCUGAUUGUGGUUUAGUUUAAAGGGUGUUUAGAACUAUGCAUAAAAGAAAUGUUGUUGCGUGGAUUACUAAUUUUUGAUGGUAUGUGAAAAGGAAGAGGUUUUCGGAAGCAGUGAGGUGUUUUGUUAUGAUGAUGAGAUUAGGUAUUAAGCCAAUUGUUGUUAGAUGUUUUUCCUGCUGUAUCAGAAAUAGGGGAUGUUAGAGUUGCUGAUUUGGUACAGAACGGACUGGAUAAAGAGGCUUUGAUGCUUGCAUAUGAGAUGCAAAAUCUUGGGGUUGCAAUUGAUGAUAUAACAAUUGCAUCCUGCUUUCUGCGGCAUCAAAUCUUAGGGACAGGGAAAUUGGUUAACAGACCCAUGCUUAUCUUCUGAGGCACAAUAGACAUGUAUGCCAAAUGUAAUAUGAUUAGGGAAGCACAAGCUAUAUUCCAGUCGAACUUCACAAAUGAUAAAGAUCAAGCCACGUGGAAUGCUAUGAUUACUGGAAACACUCAAAAUGGAUUAAUUAAACAAUCCUUUGUUGUCUUCAAGGAGAUGCUAGAGCAGAAUUUGAAGCCAAAUGCUGUGACGUUAGCAUCAAUCCUCCAUGCAGCCAAUCAGGAAGUAUAGCAAUAGGCUAGCAGCUACAUUGUUUGCAAUUCGCAAUUUGUUUGAGAACAGUGCUUAACUUGUUUCUGCUAUGGUAGACAUGUAAUCAAAAUCAGGAAUAAUUGAUUAUGAGUUUGGGAUAUGGUCUUCUUGGGAUGGGUAGGAAAGCUCUAACACUGUUCUACUCUUUGUGGCAGAAUGGUUUAGAACCAGAUGCUAUUACCUCUGUAGCUGUCCUGUAAACUUGCAGCUACACCGGAUUGGUUGAUACAGGCUUUAAAUAUUUGAGCUGAUGGGUGAAGAAUACGGGAUUCAGCCAUCAGCAGAACACUAUGCGUGUGUGGUUGACAUUUUAGGGAGAGUUUGAUGGUUGGAUGAAGCUCAUAAUUUUUCUGAACUGUUGAGUGUUGUGGAUAAUGUCUUAGGAAAAUGGGGAUCACUCCUUGCGGCCUGCAGAGUGCAUGUAAAUUUUGAAUUGGGGAAAAUUGUUUCCAGUAAGCUGCUUGAAUUAGAGGGGAGUGACGGAAUUUCUGGCCAUCAUGUUCUGCUUUCAAAUAUAUAUGCAGAGGAAGGAAACUGGCAGUGUGUAGAUAACGUCAGAAGAAGAAUGCGCGUAAUGGGAUUGUCAAAGGAGGUUGGGUGUAGUUGGAUUGAUACUUCUGGAUAUCCACUCUGUUUUGUAUCUAAAGAUAAGAAGCAUCCUCAGUACUUGAACUAAUAUAUGAUAUGUUGGGAUAUUAAACCAUCAAUAUGAAGGAUGCUGGCUAUAAGCUAUUAGUUCUCCCACUAUGUUGUUGUUCUCUCACUAUGUACCUUUGUAUUCAUGAUAUUUUUGGACAUGAUUUUGCUAGAGUUCGUUUGAUUGUAGUUUGUCAAUGACCAGCUGCCUUUGGAAACUCGAGAUCAAUCAAGAAUAUCCAUUGGUGGGAAACGAGGAGUCCCAGAUAGCAUAAGAAGGGUCUUAUCCAAGAUGACAACUUCUAUCAAGCUCUCUGAUUGCACAUUUAAAUUAGGGCAACUUCACAGUUGCAGCAUUUGGAGUUUACACAGCUACAUGCAUGUCUGAUAAAGAAAUGCACGGCAAGUUAUUUCGCUUAAUGCUAUGAUAGACACAUAUUCUAGGUGUAACCAUGUUCUACUCUUUACGGCAGAAUGCUUUAGAACCAGAUGCUGUUACCUUUGUAGCAGUCCUGUCUACUUGCAGCUACACCGGAUUGGUUGAUACAGGCCUUUAAAUAUUUGAGCUGAUGGGUGAAAAAUCUGGAUUCAGCCAUCAGCAGAGCGCUAUCCUUGUGUGGUUGACAUGUAGGGAGAGUUGGACGGUUGGAUGAAGCUCAUAAUUUUUCUGAACUGUUGGGUGUUGAGGGUAAUGUCUUGGGAAGAUGGGGAUCAUUCCUUGCAGCCUGCAGAGUGCAUAGAAACUUUGAUAUGGGGAAAAUUGUUUCCAGUAAGCUGCUUGAAUUAUAGGGGAGGGAUAAUUUCUGGUUGUCAUAUUCUGCUUUCAAAUAUAUUAUGCAGAGGAAGGAAACUGGCAGUCUGUCGAUAACGUCAGAAGAGGGAUUCACAAAGUGGGAUUGUCAAAGGAGGUUGUCUUUAGUUGGAUUGAUACUUCUGGAUAUCCGCACUGUUUUGUAUCUAAAGAUAGGAAGCAUCCUCAGUACUACAUGAUAUAUGACGUGUUGGGAUAUUUAACCAUCAAUAUGAAGGAUGCUGGCGCCUGGCUAUAAGACUAAACUUGAACUAAUAGAAGAGUGUAUCUAUGGGCUAGAAGAUUAAAAAGCUAUCACUUCUCCCACUAUGUUGUUGUUCUCCCACUAUUUACCUUUGUAUUCAUGAUAUUUUUUUGGACAGGAUUUUACUAGAGCUCAUAUGAUUGUGGUUAAUCAAUGACCAGCUCCUUUGUCGAGGCACUGUGUGAUAACAAGAACAGCAAAGCAGGAGGAUGCUGAAGCCAGUAGAACUUCCCAAGUUCCACACACCAAGGAUAUGAUUGGGUCUGCUUACGGAGGAUCACAAGCAGUGCCAAUCACUAGCAAUGAGAGCAUGUUUCCUUGAGAAAGCACCAACGUGGAGCAGGUGAUAGAAGUUGUUGGAGGAGAGUCGACAGACCAUAAUGCUGUUGUCAGUGUUGGGUCUGAUGUGAAUGUUGAUGCUGGAAGUUUCCUAUUACCCAGCAAACGAUCAGGUACUGCUGCUAGCGGUGGAAGUGGAACUUACAGUCAUCCUAUCGCUAGAAUUGGGAAUGAACUUGAAGCAUUGCUCACUGAACCCAUGGACGAAGAUAAUGAUAUCAGUUCCAUUUUUGAAGUUAGGAAAGCACCAACUUCUUAUCCUGUGCUGGUUGAUGCUGCUUUAAGCAGAAUACCCCGCUAUGCAGCUGCAGUGGCUGCUGCUGCUCAGUUACCUCCCUUUGACGAUGAAGGCAUUUUUGAUCCGGAUGACCUGUUCACAGACCAGAUGUUCUGAUUUGAUGGAGGUGAAGCUGUCAAUGUUGAUAUUAGUUGGUCACAACCAGAUAGUCUGAUACUGCACUUUUUGUUUUUCUUUUUUUGAAGACUUGUGCCAUUUUGUUAGACAGUAUUGCUCUUAUUCAUCUAUUUUUAAUCUGCUUUAAGGAGCCAGAUUUUCUGUAUCUUCAAACUCUUUUGAGAGAGUAAGUGGAUUUUAGUUGAAAUUUUUCAAAAUAAAAUGGUAGCAGUUUGAGUUCUUGCAA